rnacentral:rRNA from 1 species
UACGUAGGUGGCAAGCGUUUGUCCGGAUUUAUUGGGUUUAAAGGGUGCGUAGGCGGAUGCUUAAGUCAGAGGUGAAAGACAGCCGCUCAACGGUCGCAGUGCCUUUGAUACUGGGUAUCUUGAGUGCAGACGAGGUCUGUGGAAUGGAUGGUGUAGCGGUGAAAUGCUUAGAUACCAUCCAGAACACCAAUUGCGAAGGCAGCAGACUAGGGUGCAACUGACGCUGAGGCACGAAAGUGCGGGGAUCAAACAGG